UGGGGAAUUUUGGACAAUGGGGGAAACCCUGAUCCAGCCAUCCCGCGUGUGCGAUGAAGGCCUUCGGGUUGUAAAGCACUUUUGGCAGGAAAGAAACGUCAUGGGCUAAUACCCCGUGAAACUGACGGUACCUGCAGAAUAACCACCGGCUAACUACGUGCCAGCAGCCGCGGUAAUACGAAGGGUGCAAGCGUUAAUCGGAAUUACUGGGCGUAAAGCGUGCGCAGGCGGUUCGGAAAGAAAGAUGUGAAAUCCCAGGGCUCAACUUUGGAACUGCAUUUUUAACUACCGGGCUAGAGUGUGUCAGAGGGAGGUGGAAUUCCGCGUGUAGCAGUGAAAUGCGUAGAUAUGCGGAGGAACACCGAUGGCGAAGGCAGCCUCCUGGGAUAACACUGACGCUCAUGCACGAAAGCGUGGGGAGCAAACAGG
rnacentral:rRNA from 1 species